UUUGAUAAGCAGGCAGACAGAUGAUGAUGAUUACACUCUCUUGAAACGAACUCGUUCCAUUUUCUCUUUUUGUCUUAAUUCAACUUUUACUAUAAAUCCAGAGCUUAUUCAUUUUAGUUUACUUAGAAUCUUGGACUUGGGUACCACAAAGUUAAUAAGUUUCCCUCCACAUGUACUAUGUCUCAUUUGGUUGAGGUACCUAGCAUUGUCUGGCACUGGCGAGGAUUUUUACGUUCCUCCAGAAAUUUGCAGAUUAUGGAAUCUGCAAACACUCAUUAUUGUUAAAUUGAAUUUUCCUGGAGAUGUGACUUUUACGGAGAAAAUUUGGGAACUAAUGCAAUUAAGGCAGCUCAGACUACAUAAAUUUUAUUUGUCAAAUCCUCCAAGGGAAUCUGAUGACGAGGAGAGCUACUUGGCUUUUUCAAACAUACAUACUAUUUCUGGCUUGUCUCCAAGUAGUUGCACAAAGGAGGUUAUUUCAGGGAUUCGGAAUGUUAAGAAGUUAGUAAUCUGUGGAUAUGCCAAUGACUAUGAAAUCUUUCAACGAUCUGGACUUUUCAACAAUCUUGCCCAUCUGCAUCAACUUGAAACAUUGAGUGUUGAACUUGUUCGUAAGUGGGACUCACCAGCGACUAUUCCAAGUAUAGCAGCUUUUCCAGCAACACUGAAGAAGUUGAAGUUGGUCUCAACUGGUGUAAACUGGGAGGACUUGAACAUCGUAGGUGAGUUGCCUAACCUUGAGGUGCUGAAGCUGAUGCGGAACGCUUGUAUUGGCAAAGAAUGGUAUCCAAUUGAAGGAGGAUUUACUCGAUUGAAGCUUUUGCUAAUUGUGCAUUGUGAUCUCAAGUACUGGAAAGCCACAGAUGACAAUUUUCCCGUCCUUGAGCGCCUACUGAUUAGAGAUUGCCAUAGGUUGGAAGAGAUACCCAUUGAGUUUGCAGAUAUUUACUCACUGCAACUCAUUGAGUUAACUGACUGUACAACCGAACUCGAGGCUUCUGCUGCACGAAUUCAACAAGAACAAGAAGACCUUGGAAUCAAACCCGUGGAUGUUCGUAUCUCAUGUAAGUAUAAAAUUAUAUAAUGUUCUUGCAUUUCUUUUGCUUGCUUUUAUCUUUUCUAAACUUUUCUAUUCUUGAUUAAUACACAACAUUUUGGAUGACUCUAUGUUUCAUUUUGAUUGCGUGAGUAAAACAAUAUUGCAAAUAGUUAAUAAAGGAGAUGCCAAGUUAUAGUUGUAAAUAUAAUGACCAAAUAAUUAUUGCGAUUAGCCAUAUUAACUUAAUAAAAAUGAUAAUUUGAUUAGUAAAAUAAUUCAAGUAGUCAUAAAUACCUUUAUUUUGAUAGUUGUAGGUGAUGUGUUUGCCUUUAAAUCAUCCGACCCUCCUUGAGUUUAAGGAUGUAUUCCUUCCGUUCACUUUUACUCGUCAUGUUUCGCUUUUCGAGAGUCAAACUACAUAAACUUUGACCAAUAUGUUAACAUAUAUUUUUUUUACCAUAUUGCUAUGAGAAAAAUUACAAAUUAUAGUAUUUUUUGUAUAGUUUCCGAUUAUCAAAAUUUUAAUUUUAAAAUAUUAAGAAAAUUUAAUGCAAUUUAGCUUAAAAAAUUAGUCAAAUUAGACUCUCGAAAGCCGAAAUAUGACAAGUAAAAGUGGACGAGGGGAGUAUAAUGUCUGAACACUUUAAACUUAUAGGUGCAAUAAUGUGAUUCCUACACAAACGCUUGUAUUUG
rnacentral:lncRNA from 1 species